rnacentral:lncRNA from 1 species
CUGAGCCAAAGUGUAUAGCCAUGGGGCAUGCUCCUGCACCUGUUUAAAAAUUGCUUCUUUGUUUGCUAUAGUCCUUUGGAACUGAUGAAUGCAAGUCUUGUUGGUUAUCAGAGUCUUACAGGACUUGUGAAUGCAAGGCCCAUUGGCUUUCAGAGCUAGGUGAUUUGGGGGCCCAUCCUUUGAGAGGCAGCCUUGGAAGUUGGGGCACUAGAUGUAUGAUCCAAACCUUUCAUUCCUCAAGGAGAAGAGUGAGAGGCAGUGUCUGAAGCCAGGAAGAGAGCUCUCACCAGAAUCUGACCAUGCUGGCACCCUGAUCUUGGACUUCUGGUCUCCAGAACUGAUGUAAGUCACAUGAAGGUGGGGACUUUAUUUUGUCUUACUUCACUGCCUGCGUGUGCGUUAAAUGACUGAUGAAGAGCUGUGUGCUAAUGCUGAGAAACUCCUGACGAGGCUGAACUUGAGUGUACAGUCAACGAGUACGGUACUUGAGGGCCGCGAGGUUUGGAAUGAACUCCUGAAGAAUACAGAGGACGAGCAUCUGAAAUCUCCACUUCCCGUGAUUAAGCAGGCAGCAGGAUAUGCCUUUGCCACGCCUAUCUAAUGGCGGUUUGUUUGUUUAAUAUUAAAAUGUUGUUAGAGCUACGUAAGACAUCUGCGUUUCCUCCUGAUUCGUUGAGGCCUGAUGCAUUAAGCAUCUGUAACGCUAUUUCUUUUUAUGUCAUUAAGGGUGGGGAUGUGCUAAUGUAAAUACCAAUUGGGAAGCUUGAGUAAUUUUUCAAAUUUUUCAAUCAUGCUGUUUGCUGUAUUAUUAUUCUGGAUUAGUCUACUUUAGGUACAAUUUUACAGUAUCAUCAAAGUCGUACUCCAAUAUUUAGAUCCCAAAUGACAGAUUUAAUGGCCUUAGUUAACAUCCCCAUGAUGUAGGCUUAAUUUUAUGGUUCACCUGUUUUUGCUGUUUACUUCCCUGAGCUUCAGCCAAGCUGAAGAAACUGUAUGAAAGCAGAGUCCGAUUGUCCAUAAAAGAAAAUGCCACCUUCCUUAGAAAAAGGAAAACCUGGAUUCUCCUGAGUGGGCACCUGAAAGAGACUCUGCACAUGGGGCUGGAGGAAAUGUACACCCCACACUCCUGCGCUUCUGCCCAGCUGGAGGCAAAAGACUCCAAGGCUUUAGGCCAUGGUUAAGCCUGAAGACAGGAUGAGCCGGGAGCCCUGAAUUCGGCUUGAGGAGAGCAACUCAAGAAAGCCGGAGUUUUCUGCCCUCAUCAACUGGAUGUUAGUUCUCUCCUUGGACUGAUCUCUGCUGGCAGGUUGCUGUAACAUCCACAUACUUAUAUGCUUCAGGGUAAGAGGGCAUGAAGAUAGGUAUAGGAUUCAACUUUGCUCUAGAGCUUUCUCCAAUUUUAAAUGAAAAUCUUGCCCUUACGUCCUAGAAGAGGUCAGAUAACUCUUUGUGAAACCUCUUGAAAUAAAAAAUAGAAUAGAAGUUUACUCUACAGGCUGGAAUGUCCUUCUGAGUGUAUUAAACUAUGUCACUGGUCUCCCUCCCGUGAUGGGAGGAAGGAAACUCAGAGGAGGAAAGAGAAGAAAAGAGAAGGAGGGAGACAGUGGCUGAAGAAUGAGAUGUGAUGUGACCCUAAGUAGCGCCUCCUCUCCAACCACCCGCUCCUCUUUUCUCUGAGAUGCUUGCUCUAUAACAAUGCCUGUAACUCAAGGAAAUUGCUUCUGCCGCUUUUAUUCCCCAGGACACUUUGUCCCUUAAGGAAUUGUUCAAUUAAAGAGCUCUAAAAGGAUUGCAUUAACUGAAGAUAUCCAGUCUUCCUUUAUUUCUCAUCACCAAAAUGACAAAGACAGAAUCAGGCACCAUUAGUGCUGAUGUUUCAGUCCAUGUAGGUCUUCAUUAGGCCCCUUUAACAUAACCAUUGAAGGCGAC